rnacentral:rRNA from 1 species
UUGAACGCUGGCGGCAUGCUUUACACAUGCAAGUCGAACGGCAGCGGGGGCUUCGGCCCGCCGGCGAGUGGCGAGCGGGUGAGUAAUGCAUCGGAACGUACCCAGUCGUGGGGGAUAACUACGCGAAAGCGUGGCUAAUACCGCAUACGCCCUGAGGGGGAAAGCGGGGGACCUUCGGGCCUCGCGCGAUUGGAGCGGCUGAUGUCGGAUUAGCUAGUUGGUGGGGUAAAGGCCUACCAAGGCGACGAUCCGUAGCUGGUCUGAGGGGACGACCCGCCACACUGGAACUGAGACACGGUCCAGACUCCUACGGGAGGCAGCAGUGGGGAAUUUUGGACAAUGGGGGCAACCCUGAUCCAGCCAUUCCGCGUGAGUGAAGAAGGCCUUCGGGUUGUAAAGCUCUUUCAGCAGGAACGAAACGGUAGGCUUUAAUACGGUCUGCUAAUGACGGUACCUGCAGAAGAAGCACCGGCUAACUACGU